CAGCAGCCGCGGGAAUACGUAGGUGGCAAGCGUUGUCCGGAAUUACUGGGCGUAAAGGGCGCGUAGGCGGCCAUUCAAGUUAGAUGUGAAAGCCCUGGGCUCAACCUAGGAAUUGCAUUUGAUACUGUUUGGCUUGAGUUCGGGAGAGGUGAGUGGAAUUCCCAGUGUAGAGGUGAAAUUCGUAGAUAUUGGGAAGAACACCAGUGGCGAAGGCGGCUCACUGGACCGACACUGACGCUGAGGCGCGAAAGCGUGGGGAGCAAACAGGAUUAGAUACCCCCGUAGUCCCUGUCUCUUAUAC
rnacentral:rRNA from 1 species